rnacentral:lncRNA from 1 species
AAUUUAAUAAUUUUUCUAUGGAUAGUCCAAAUAGAAAAAUCACACAUGAAAUAAGUCAUAACUUCUAUGACUUCUAUUUUAAUAGUAUAGAUAGAUACGUGUAUAUAUUGACAGCCGCAAAUGAAACUAAACGUUUCAACCUCUACUCUUAUAUGCAAAUUAUUUUAAAAAGCAUGCGUCUUAAAUUUAUGAAUUUUAAAAUCCGUUAUAGUUAAAACAAAUAAUUAAGCUGCUAUGAUCUGAAAGAUAACGCAUGACAACGUUUUAAAAUGUAGCAAGCUCGAAAACAACGUCCUUUCUGACUAAAUAAUACUAGUACUAUACACAGGCAGGCAAAUGUCUCUUUUUCCAAAAAAAUUUUCAGUUAGUAUAAACUAUAAGUAAUAUCUAUAUAUGGAACGUACAAGAAUUUGGAGGGAAAUAGGACGUCAUAAAAUGUUGAACUUCCACGAAAUGAUAGAUUUUUUCUCGAUCUAUACAUUCAAUAAGAGACUGCCACCCAUAAAUGCUAC